rnacentral:rRNA from 1 species
AUGGAAUGAGUACACUCUAAACCCUUUAACGAGGAUCAAUUGGAGGGCAAGUCUGGUGCCAGCAGCCGCGGUAAUUCCAGCUCCAAUAGCGUAUGCUAAAGCUGCUGCGGUUAAAAAGCUCGUAGUUGGAUCUCAGUUGCGGGCGGGUGGUGCAUCUACCCGGUGUGACAGCCCGAACUGAACAUCUUGCCUUCUAUCCUCUGGUGUCCUUCACUGGAUGCCUUUGGGUGGUCGGUGCAUUUACUUUGAAAAAAUUGGAGUGCUCAACGCAGGCGAAGCGCCUGAACACUUAUGCAUGGAAUAAUAGAACAAGACCCCGUCUCUGUUCUGUUGGUUUUUGGAAAACGGGGUAAUGAUCAAGAGGGACUGCCGGGGGCAUUCGUAUUGCGGCGCUAGAGGUGAAAUUCUUGGACCGUCGCAAGACGAACUACAGCGAAAGCAUUUGCCAAGAAUGUUUUCAUUGAUCAAGAACGAAAGUUAGAGGUUCGAAGGCGAUCAGAUACCGCCCUAGUUCUAACCAUAAACGAUGCCAACCAGCAAUCCGCCUGAGUUACUCCAAUGACUCUGCGGGCAGCUUCCGGGAAACCAAAGUAUUUGGGUUCCGGGGGAAGUAUGGUUGCAAAGCUGAAACUUAAAGGAAUUGACGGAAGGGCACCACCAGGAGUGGAGCCUGCGGCUCAAUUUGACUCAACACGGGAAAACUUACCCGGCCCGGACACUGGGAGGAUUGACAGAUUGAGAGCUCUUUCUUGAUCGG